AAACAAAUAAAAAGGAGAGUGAAAGAAAAAGAACAAAAAAAGGGAAUAGCCAAAUGCGGCUCAGGAGAAGGCCCCGUGUGGCCGUGUGAGCUUCCCCCGGCCCGAACGGCAGUCCCCCGCAUUCCCCUAACGUUCAAUCGCGUACCGUCGCUCGCCGUAUUCCCCUGCCGCGCACAGUUCACUCGCGCACCUCUCGCCCCCUCGCUCUACGACGACUAGUGGGCCGCCGGCGCUGGCGCCGCCUUACGCCAGGUGCCGAGGUCUUCGUUGAUCUCUUCGCCGGCGACGAGCACCCACCAGCUGGGAAAAAAUCUAUAGCCAAACAUAAUAAUGGCUAUGAUUGAUGAACCUCUCUACCCGAUUGCUGUACUGAUUGAUGAACUGAAAAAUGAAGAUAUUCAGUUGCGCCUUAACUCCAUCAAAAAGCUUUCUACAAUUGCCCGGGCAUUGGGUGAAGAAAGAACAAGGAAAGAGCUGAUUCCAUUCCUUAGUGAAAACAACGAUGAUGAAGAUGAGGUGCUUCUUGCAAUGGCAGAAGAGUUGGGCGUUUUUAUUCCUUAUGUUGGAGGAGUAGAGCAUGCACAUGUUUUGCUUCCACCACUGGAAACAUUGUGUACUGUGGAGGAGACCUGCGUCAGAGACAAGGCUGUGGAAUCACUUUGUCAGAUAGGAGCACAGAUGAAGGAAAAUGAUAUUGUGGACUGGUUUGCCCAUGUCGUAAAGAGGUUGGCGGUAGGUGAGUGGUUUACAGCUCGAGUUUCUUCAUGUGGCCUUUUUCAUAUCGCCUAUCCUAGUGCACCUGAACAACUGAAGGCAGAACUGAGGACAAUUUAUGGCCAGUUAUGUCAAGACGACAUGCCUAUGGUACGGAGAGCUGCUGCAUCCAAUCUUGGGAAGUUCGCUGCAACAGUGGAACAAAGUCAUUUGAAGACAGAAAUCAUGUCAAUGUUUGAUGAUCUAACUCAAGAUGACCAAGAUUCAGUGCGACUAUUGGCAGUUGAGGGUUGUGCUGCUCUUGGGAAGUUGUUGGAGCCCCAAGAUUGUGCAGCACAUAUUCUCCCAGUUAUUGUAAAUUUCUCUCAGGAUAAAUCUUGGCGUGUGCGCUAUAUGGUGGCAAAUCAACUGUAUGAACUAUGUGAAGCUGUUGGUACUGAACCCACAAGGGGUGAUCUGGUGUCAGCGUAUGUUCGCCUUCUCUGUGACAAUGAGGCUGAAGUGCGGAUUGCAGCUGCUGGAAAAGUUACAAAAUUCUGCAAAAUAUUAAACCCACAAAUUGCAAUUGAACAUAUUCUUCCGUGUAUCAAGGAAUUAUCAUCAGAUUCAUCUCAGCAUGUUCGUUCAGCUUUGGCAUCGGUUAUUAUGGGAAUGGCUCCUGUAUUGGGAAAGGACGCCACUCUUGAACAACUGCUUCCCAUUUUUCUUUCUUUGCUGAAGGAUGAGUUCCCUGAUGUUCGACUCAACAUUAUAAGCAAACUUGAUCAAGUUAACCAGGUUAUUGGAAUUGACUUGUUGUCGCAAUCACUUCUGCCAGCCAUUGUAGAGCUCUCUGAAGAUAGGCACUGGAGAGUUCGGCUUGCCAUAAUUGAGUACAUACCUUUGUUGGCCAGCCAGUUAGGUGUUGGUUUUUUUGAUGACAAGUUAGGGGCACUUUGCAUGCAGUGGUUGGAAGAUAAGGUUUUCUCGAUCAGAGAUGCUGGUGCCAAUAAUUUAAAGCGUUUGACAGAGGAAUUUGGCCCUGAGUGGGCGAUGCAACAUAUAAUUCCUCAGGUUAUAUGCGCAAAACCCAUGCACAUCAUCUCUUAUGCGAGGGCGACAAUGGAGUCUUCUGUGAAAGGGCCUCUAGCUGAGAUGGUUAGGUGGUCUGGGUAGCACUCCUUAGGUCCUGACUCCUGAGUUCGAAUCCCUGUGGGAGCGGAUUUCAGGUUGAGCUUAAAAAAGGUCACUCGCUGUUCCCCGUUGUGUGCACAUGAGAUGGACUGAUCUAUGGAGGGCGGAUCCUUGUGUAGGGGUUGGGAGGGCUUGAAGCAUGAGUAAAGAUCCGGGCCUAUAGGGGGGUGCACCCUCAUGCUGCACGGGGGACCAUCUUUCGUGACCUUGGGGGAGGUAUUUCCUCUACCGGCCAAGACAAGGAGUCUCCUUUGCGCCCCUUCCGAUUCUUGCGUGUUCAUAAAGAAAUCUAGGAAAGAAGUGUUACAGAAGUGUUAGGCACACACUAGAUGGGUGGCACCUAUCAUGUAUUGUCUAGCACCUAAGUUGGUUGCUUAGAUGGACGGCUCUAACAUGGUUGUUUGGCACCUGGUGCCUAGGGUGAGCCGGUGAGCUAGAUGGUCUGUACAUUGGUUGUGAUAAUAUUUCACUGAAUAACUCAGUUCCGGAACCUAAGCUGAUUUUAUGCUAGACUAAGUUGUUAUGACAUCAGACUGGACCUUGCAUACCCCCAAAUAGGAGGAUACAACAACAUUUUUUUUUGCAUUAAAGCAGGGUAAAGAGGGUAUUGGAAUAAAAUUUACUCAUGGUUAAUUAAUUAUAUCAACAGAUUGAUUGAAAAUCUUUAUAUUGUCAAAUCUCUUUUAUAUUCUAGGUUUUGGAGAAGAUAAACAACCCACAUUAUCUGUAUCGGAUGACCACUUUGCAAGCUAUUUCUUUGCUAGCUCCUGUCAUGGGUCCUGAUAUCACAUGCCAACAGUUGCUCCCUGUCGUCAUUGCUUCUUCAAAGGACAGGGUUCCGAACAUGAAAUUCAAUGUUGCUAAAGUCCUGCAAUCACUUGUACCAAUCCUUGACCAAUCUGUUGUGGAGAAGACAGUGAAACCAUGCCUAGUUGAGCUCAGUGAGGACCCAGAUGUAGAUGUAAGAUACUACGCACACCAAGCCCUUCGGGCGUGUGACCAAAUGGUGAUAUCUAGUUGACUAGCCUGUCCAGGAAUUAGCAAAUGAGAUACAUAUUGGUCUAUUCUUUUUGAACAUUUUAAAGUGUUAUGUAGUCUUAAAAAUUAUUGUACCACCAAUGAAGUUGAUGCA